rnacentral:rRNA from 1 species
AUUGAACGCUGGCGGCAGGCUUAACACAUGCAAGUCGAGCGGGGUGAUGGUGCUUGCACUAUCACUUAGCGGCGGACGGGUGAGUAAUGCUUAGGAAUCUGCCUAUUAGUGGGGGACAACAUCUCGAAAGGGAUGCUAAUACCGCAUACGUCCUACGGGAGAAAGCAGGGGAUCACUUGUGACCUUGCGCUAAUAGAUGAGCCUAAGUCGGAUUAGCUAGUUGGUGGGGUAAAGGCCUACCAAGGCGACGAUCUGUAGCGGGUCUGAGAGGAUGAUCCGCCACACGGGGACUGAGACACGGCCCAGACUCCUACGGGAGGCAGCAGUGGGGAAUAUUGGACAAGGGGGGGAACCCUGAUCCAGCCAUGCCGCGUGUGUGAAGAAGGCCUUAUGGUUGUAAAGCACUUUAGGCGAGGAGGAGGCUCUUUUGGUUAAUACCCAAGAUGAGUGGACGUUACCCGCAGAAUAAGCACCGGCUAACUCUGUGCCAGCAGCCGCCGUAA